UUAAUUCGAUGCAACGCGAAAACCUUACCUACCCUUGACAUGCCAGGAACCUUGCUGAGAGGCGAGGGUGCCUUCGGGAGCCUGGACACAGGUGCUGCAUGGCUGUCGUCAGCUCGUGUCGUGAGAUGUAUGGUUAAGUCCUGCAACGAGCGCAACCCUCGUGGUUAGUUGUUUCUCUAACCAGACUGCCUCGCAAAACGGGGAGGAAGGUGGGGAUGACGUCAAAGUCAGCAUGGCCUUUAUAUCUUGGGCUACACACACGCUACAAUGGGUGGCACAAUAGGUUGCAACAGUGCGAACUGAAGCUAAUCCCCAAAGCCAUCCUCAGUACAGAUUGCAGGCUGAAACCCGCCUGCAUGAAGUCGGAGUUGCUAGUAACCGCAAAUCAGCAUGUUGCGGUGAAUACGUUCUCGGGCCUU
rnacentral:rRNA from 1 species